ACCAAGCUCUGUCUGUUGAUUGGGAUGCA
rnacentral:piRNA from 1 species